GCCCAAGUGGUGGAAUGGUAGACGCCGUGGACUCAAAAUCCACUGCCGCAAGGCGUGCAGGUUCAAGUCCUGUCUUGGGCACCA
rnacentral:tRNA from 1 species